AAAGCCUUCAGACCAGAAAGACCAUCAGAAGAGAAGAGUUACCAGGCAAUGAGGAGAGUCAGCUCUGCCACUUGAGAAAAGCCACCAGUCAGGAAGGGAUGUGGCUAGAUUGAGUUUCUUUGGUGAAGGACAGAGGACACCAGAAUCCAUUUCAUCGAGAUUUUCCGUAUUAAAAUGGAGAUGGAAGUGUCGUGGAGAAUUAGAUUACUUGUCCUCACCCCAGUGCCUGGUGUUCCUUGGGAGGUCUGUUUGUGUCGCCGUGGAUAACCAGAUGGCAUUAAUUUGAGAGGUGCAAGUAUACCUUCCUUAGCAGGCCGGGUGAUUGCUUUUAAAGUGCUGUUUCCAUCUAAUCGAAGCCUCUUGCCUGCACAAACUUAAUUUGUUCCUUUCCUUGUGAAAUUUGUAAAGUUUCAAAGCGUUCUCAGCCCUAAUCAUUACCACCGGGGCGAAAAACUAGUUUAAAUAAAUGCCUCAGUGACUAGAA